GGAAGGAUCUCUUCUGGAGAUCACCUCUCUUGGUGUUUUGUGGGUGAGCCCAGCAUAAGGGCAGAUGGAAGAAACAGUGACAGUCAGUACAGAAAAAUCUGUGAGAAGGCUGACGUGGAGGGAAAGCAUGAGCUCUUGGAGUGCCUACUGAAAUAUUGUACUUGUGAAGGAUGUAAAAGUGGAAAGAAAGGCAGAGAAGAGAGAAAGAUGAGACAGAUUCUUCCCAGUGCUGCAGAAGUUAAAGAUGACAACUCUUGAUUCUUGCCUCCCCCUCUUGCCCUGAAUCCUGUUGUAUUGCUGAAAUUCCAGUGAUUCAAAGUGACCUAACAAACUCUCCAGAGGUAGAGAAAGCAAUCUAUGCAGGUUUUGUUUGCAUAAAUGAGUGAAUUCCUACCAAAAAGAGUCUGGAUUGGCAGCUGUGAAGACUUUCAUCCUCUUUUCACUCACAAGGCAAAAAUAAUGCAGCAGCAAUGUGCCUGGGAUGACUACUGUGCUGUCUAACAGGAGGGGUCGAACUGGGGAACUUCCAGAGUUUAAAAGCAUGGCCUUCUUUAUAACCUGAGCUGGAGGCAAGAGGUCCAUCAGAGAUCUGUAAGCUCUAGGGACUGGAAAUGCAAAGGAAGCUCUAGAUCACAGACUGCCUUCUCAAUUGUGUGAUCUCCCUCAAAAAAUGAGAUCUUUCCCAGUGUCCGGGCUUUACAGCAUUGCAAAUCCUGUUCAAGUCACUACUUAAGUGAAUGGAGGUUAUCUUAUUGGUCAUACCAGAAACUGCAAUUCAGUCCUUAACUGGAGGAAAAGUAAUCCUUGGGUCAGGUUAGAUUUAGAUUCUCUGGAGAUGCUGUUGAUGGAUUCUCUGGGCUUGUUCUACAGGCAUGAUUCCAUUGUGAUUACCAGGGUAAUUGCACCUCUAACUGUCCCAAAUAUCAAGCUUCUGGGUCUUGGAUCAGCUGAGUAAUCCUCCUCCUUUCACCCUGUCUGCAAACCCCUGUGCAGCAAUGGAGUGGCUCCACCUCUCCUAGACCCCAUUUAAGAGCUGACUACCACUGGGGAAGAUCUCUUUUGGAGAUCACUCCUCUUGGAGUCUUCUCAGCAAGUCCAGGACAAGGGUAAGCUUUCCAUCCACUUUUCUUUAUCACGAUAACCUGUUUAGCCUAACUUUCCUGUACAUUUCUUAAUUAUAACAUCUGUAUAUUCAUGGAUUACACAACCUGUAAGGCAGUCAGGCUGCUGCAGGCCCCCAUGCUCCUGGGAAGCUCCGGGCCACCCUAUAGGUUCUGUGUUUCCAUGAAACACAAACCUUGUCCUUAGCCUGUAGCCAAGGGUUUUGGAAAUUCUAAAUACGGUGCUGGCCACCAGGCUUUUCUAACAGAGG